ensembl:lncRNA
CGUGAUGACGGCUGACUAAAGGACGUAUUUUUGUCGGGCUCCCGCUCCCACAUUACUAUUAGUUCGUUCUCUUUAGUUUUAUGCGCCCUCAGCAACACAUCGCACAAGCCUGGUGCCGUAAGUUGUAGUAGCUGUCUGACAAACACUUUUUCGAUGUAAAAAUGUCGAAACAAACUUAAUUUCAGACGCGGAAAACGAUGCUAGCAGCCUCUCCUAGCAUACACUCAAGUGUAGCAGCUAACUCUCCAGAGGAAAACAACGAGUCUUCAUCAGCAAUGGACAGAGGAUAAGUUUUCUAAACUUUCUGAGACCUUGGACAGAUUUUCAGCGACCCUGGAGAGCCACUCCAAACGUAUUUCGGAGGCAGAGCAGCGCAUGUCGGGUGCGGAGGAGACGCUGUCCGCUCUGCAGGAAAAAGUUACCAAAGCUGAGAAGAAAAUCAAAGAGAUGGAGGCUGGCUUGGACGAUAUGGAAAACCGGAGCAGACGCGACAAUAUCCGCGUUCUCAACCUGAAGGAGGGCAUUAAAAUCGACCGUCCCCACCAUGGCUUGGGUCCGCAAAGUGCGCGUCCUCGCCCGGUGAUUAUUAAACUCCACAACUCAAGGGACAAACUGAUGAUAAUGUCAGCAUUGCGAAAGAAAUCCACUCUGGAAUACGAAGGACAGCGAAUCCACAUUCAACAGGAUUUCUCUACGGCGGUCCGAGAGAGGCGUCGGGCUUUCAACGGUGUAUGCCAGGCUUUGAUCAACAAGGGGAUCCGCUUCAACAUGCGUUACCCAGCCAUCCUGGUUGUGCACCAUAACGGGACGGAUCACAAGUUUGUAACAUCAAGUGCUGCAGAGGGCUUUCUCGGCACACUGGACUAGAGGCUGCCCGAGGAGGAUCUGAUCAAGUUUGUGAAACAGAGAAGUUUUCCUUUCCCCCCCUUUUUUUUCUGCAUUAUUUGAUCCAUGGGAGUAUGUGACUACAACUGACAGAAUAUUUGACCUGACUGUGAACACUGUUG